UACGUAGGGUGCAAGCGUUGUCCGGAAUUAUUGGGCGUAAAGAGCUCGUAGGCGGCUUGUCGCGUCGGCUGUGAAAACCUGGGGCUCAACCCCGGGCCUGCAGACGAUACGGGCAAGCUAGAAUUCGGUAGGGGAGACCGGAAUUCCUGGUGUAGCGGUGAAAUGCGCAGAUAUCAGGAGGAACACCGGUGGCGAAGGCGGGUCUCUGGGCCGAUAUUGACGCUGAGGAGCGAAAGCGUGGGGAGCGAACAGG
rnacentral:rRNA from 1 species